UGAAAAUAGACCUUGUCCCUGUAAACCUGCUAUGCUUCUGCAGUCACUCAGACAUGAGCAGCUAGAAGGGUGGAGAACUGCUAUUGAUCAUCUGCCACAUGCCAGGCAUCGAGCCUCAUAUAUUAUCUCAUUAAAUCCUUGCAAAGGCCCUUGCAUUAGGUGCUGUUAUCACCAUGUUACAAGUGAAGAUGGGCAGUUAAGAAUGCACUCUGUCUGCCUCUCUUUUUCCAAUGAGUGAUAACCAAGUUUUCUGUCUCAAACAGUUAAAUGAGACACUUCUAAGAGCCCACCAAGUUCUUCUGAGGGCAGGAAAGUUAUUUUUUGUUUUCAAAAUAGCUGCUUCCACAGAUGACGCCCAAAUAUUUAGUUUUCUUUUUGAAAAAUUAAUUCUUUUUUAAACUUAAUAACAUUUACCAUUUUUUCUUUGUUCCCCAUUACUUAUACAUUCCAUUUCUUCUGGUUUCAAUUUCUUUUUGGAUACAUUCUUUUCUUUUUUUUUUUUUUUUAUUAUACUUUAAGUUUUAGGGUACACGUGCACAUUGUGCAGGUUACUUACAUAUGUAUACAUGUGCCAUGCUGGUGCGCUGCACCCAGUAACUCAUCAUCUAGCAGUAGGUAUAUCUCCCGAUGCUAUCCCUCCCCCUUCCCCCCACCCCACAACAGUCCCCAGAGUGUGAUAUUCCCCUUCCUGUGUCCAUGUGAUCUCAUUGUUCAAUUCCCACCUAUGAGUGAGAAUAUGCGGUGUUUGGUUUUUUGUUCUUGCGAUAGUUUACUGAGAAUGAUGAUUUCCAAUUUCAUCCAUGUCCCUACAAAGGACAUGAACUCAUCCUUUUUUAUGGCUGCAUAGUAUUCCAUGGUGUAUAUGUGCCACAUUUUCUUAAUCCAGUCUAUCAUUGUUGGACAUUUGGGUUGGUUCCAAGUCU
rnacentral:lncRNA from 1 species